AAGGCACGAAAAGCAACAACUGUCGAUCCCAUGGUACUUGCACUGCUUGCUCACCCAAUCUUUUGGUCUCUCUCUCCCUCUCGUGCUCUCCUGCUCUCGUGCGGCACAUGUGUGAAUGAAUGCAGUGGCGUAAACAGCAGCAACAACAACAACAACGGCAACGACAAGCAGCGUGAAUCAAGUGAAUGAAGUAUUUAGCGCGCGCCUUUUUUUCUCUCUGUGUGCAAUGACAUUUUCAAGUGCCCGGACGUACGCCCGUGAUUCGUGUGAGUGUGUGUGUAAGUGAGUGAGUGAGUGAGUGAGCGAGUGAGCGAGUGAGUGAGGUGUGCGUGUGUGGUAUGCAAGUGAGUAAACAACAAUAAUUGUCAGCGGCAAUAACAGAAAUAACAUUUCAUAUAAAUUCCGAUUUGAUAAGCUUUCCUCCCUAAUCUCGACAGGGGAUUUUCCCCUCCCGAUCCUUACUUAGUCUUCCUACUUGUUUGUACGUAUGUACAUAGGUUGGCUAACGCUUUAUUUGCUCACUUUUAUUAUUUAUGAUACGUUCCGCUCCCCAUUGCCCAAUUAUUUUGUUGGAAUGCAUUGCACAAGAUAUUUCCCAGUGUGCUUGUAGCCGUGCGACUGUGUGAGUUGUUUGAUUUGGCAUUUUCAAGUUAUCAAUGAAUUUCACACACACGCACGUAGGAAUAACGGGCGUGAGUAGAGUAAAUUUGUCCGCGUACUUAUUGGAUUCGAUUUCAUUCACACCCAGGGACCCCGAUUUCCCCCACGAAGACCGCCAGAAAUUGAAGUUGGCACAAAUACCGCCGACAGUACAGCUUGGCUAACGUGGACUAGCUCAAAUGCAAUCCCUAUGAAUAUGCACACAUAUACAGCUACAACGACUGCAUAUAUAUAUUUGGAUUGAUGCUAAAUUAUUGAUUAUAUUCGCCCUAGUCAGAUUUAACUAAAUUCCAACAUAUCCAAGAAAUCCAUUUUGAGAUGCACGUCCAGAUUAGAGAGGUUUUGCCGUAUUUACCUAUUGACGGCGAGUAAAUAAGUUCUAUAUUUGCUCACCUUAUCAGACGCCUUAUCGCCCUGCGCUCACUCCACAAAUGUUCCCCAUUUUUGUUGAAUGAAAAUAUUCCCCUUUUCGGUAAUGGGAACACCACAAUACAACCCAUGAAUCCCCCUCCAGUUCGCCAGCCCAUUCAUCUAUUCCCAUCUGUCGGCUGUUCGCUGUAUCUUUCGAGCUGAAUCACAACUUUGACGGGCCAGUCACAGAGUCAAGCUAAUUAAUAACAAGCUAUGGUCGUCGUCCGAAAAAGAUUUCCACCGCCUUCCCCUUCCACAAAUUUUCGUUCUUGCAUGUUAUCAGUUGAGAUUCUCGCUCGUGCGCCCCCUCAUCUGUUUCCUUUCUCGCUUGCUGGUUUUUUUCUGCUCGCCGCUUGUCAAAUUUGACAUUUGCUAUUGAACCGUUCAUAAAAUAGGCGCCAGACUGAUUUUCGCUCGAGUUUUCUCCGCGCCGCGACUCGCCAGUUCUCAGCUAACAGCUCAGAGCUCUCGGUUUUGUUUUGUUUUCUUGUUAUGAUUUAUUAAACAUUUAUUUGGCUUAAUGAAUUAAUUUGAUUUGAUUUCGACAGCGUAACGGAAACGCCUGCGAGUGUGUGCGUGCGCCCUUGUCUGUGUGGGGCGCCAAAAAGGCGCGCUGCACGACGCAAUUGUCUGAGCUCGGGGGAAAAGUGCAUGGCGAAACAAAAGUGAGGAAAAACAAAGGGAACCCCCGAAACAACAAAGCCCAAUGCGCCGAUUGAGGCACAGCUAAACAUUGAGAAGUGUCAUUUUCCAGCGAAAUUCAGUUGUAUUUGAACAAGUCGAAAACAUUUUGAGUAUGAACUUGCAUUAUCUUACUACGAUUUUGAUGGAUUAUAACUGGUAAUUGCUCGCCAGUAAUUAUCCCCUUUACCGAAGGUCAACUGUAUUACAACGGGCUUGGGGAGAAAACGCAGCAGGCCUCCUGAGCACAAAAUAGAACGCAAUAUGUUUUUACAAGCGUCUGAAAAAUUGCCAAGAGACAGCAACAAAAGGCCGCCGAGUUAUAAUGGUUGUUUAGCUAUUAAGUUCCGCUUAAAUUGUUUUCACAUUUACCUUAUGCCCGCCCGUGCGCCAAUGCUACAAACAUAGAUACGCUCACCAACACACGCAAGCGAAAGCGCCAGCGGCAAAAACAACGACAGCGACAACAACAACCACUGGAGCAGAAUGGGGAGAACUACAUAAGCAAAGUGCGAGGCACAAAAGAACCUAAUCAAGAGCAAAACGCCGCAAAUAAAGCAAUAAACAAGACACAAUAUUGUUUUUCCUUCUUCUGCCACUUCUUCUCCUCUCCUUUAUUCCCUGCUUCUGCCAAAUAACAACAGCAAAACGAGUAAUAAUAAUACAAACAACAAUGAAACGAGAGCGGUUUCGAAAUAGCUGCCCAAACAGUGCCAGUAGUUUCCAUUUCCAUCCAGUCUCAGUCUUGGCCUCUCGAAGCUGAAAUCUCGAUUCUCAAAGCUCCAGUUCAGUUCCGAGCAAAAACAACAAGAAGCAGAGACACAAGAGCAACUACUAAAGUACAGUAAAUAACCAGAUUAGCAACAAAAACACCUAGAUUCGCGACGAGACGAGGCAGACAGACAGACGCAGCUAAACUAGCAAGGUCAUAGGAAAACAAAUACAAAAAAUGUUUUACAAAAUAGAUGUGUGUUUAAAAGGGGUUGCACGGGCGAACCUAUCGAUAACAAAGGCAAAUCCGUAAAGUAGCUCAAUGCGCCAAAGAGCACGCACAAAAAAAGGCACACGCACGCAUUUUUAAGCCAACCGCAAGAAGAAGCCGAACAAUCCGGAGAAUCUGCAAUGAAAGCAGGAGGUGGAGAAAGGACGGAGAAAGAGCGUGCCCAAAGCCCGGGUUUACAGUUGUUUGAUCCCACAAAUCAGAUUAGAGCGAGAGGCAGCUACUGGAGUGUGGUGAACUGGGGCGCAAUGUGGUGGGUUCAAUGGGUUGUGGUACCCACCCCCCCUCUCCUCGUCCUUGCCUAUAAAAAUAUAAUCAGAAGAUCCGCACGGGGAAAGCAAGUGCUGGCGACAGCUGAGCCACCAGAUUUACAUCGAUCACACUUUUUAUGCCACAUCAAGCGUCGCGCACAACAACAGUGCAACGCGAAAAGAGCGAGUGCAGCGAUGACAUUUGGGCGAGACAGUCGGGUGACACGCAGACAGAGAAGAACAUCGGCGGAGAUAGAGACGGAGACAACGGACGGACAGGCGGACUGACGGACGGACAAGGCAGUGCACUUGCAAAGAAGCAUCCUUUAAAUAUCUUAAGCAAUACAAUUUAAAAACUCAUGAAAUGAAAAGGAGUUAUUCAAAUAUAUUGAAGCAGCGUAAUUUCAAUAAUCUAUCCGAUUUAGAAGCUACCAAAAUCUAGAUACAGAUACGGAUCUUUAUAAAUAUAAGGUCGAAUAAUUUCUUAUUCAAUUAUCAAAGCCUUAAACCCACCAUAUUUAGACGAAUACUACGAUUAGUUAGUUAGUUAGAAGCCAAAAAUCUUCCGAAUUUGGGUUACUAAAUAAUUUCACAGCGAUUAGCAGCGAGUUUUUUCGAGUGUAAAAAGUGCAGGGCAGACGAUCAGACACCAGCCCAUCCACACCACGCCGAGCCACAGCGAAGCAGCAUCAGCAUCAGAUUGCCGAGACCGGUACCGCCGGGCGGAGGUGCGAGCGGGAUGGGCAGCUUUUGUGUACGGACGAGGCCAUUAGAUGAUCGCCGCGGCUAAAUUUAAAUGUCUGUGCGUUUAA